GCAGUGGUGGUACAGUACUAGAAUUCUCACCUUCCACGUGAGGAACCUGGGUUCAAUUCCUGGCUAGUACC
rnacentral:tRNA from 1 species